ensembl:lncRNA
AGCAUUGUCCCUGGAAUUGUGGAGUCCCAGGGCUCCAUUCACCCCAGCUGGGUCCAGUCAUCACCAUAGAUGGGAUGGAGCCUUUGGUAACAUUUGGUAACAUUGAAUGUUGCAGGUCCCAAUUCCAUUCUGCCUUCAAGUGGACUGAUGAGCUGGGUUGGAAUGAACAGCGUACCCAGACUGCUCUUCCACAAAGAUUCAGGUAGCAGGACACCAGUAUCUUCAAUAUCCAACCUGGAGGGAGUGUAUUUUCCCUAACAACCUGAAGAGCUUGGACAAAGGUUCUUCCCAGUUGAGACAGAUGAGACCACAUUCCGUCGCCUGAUUGCAGCUUCUUGGAUCCAUAAGAAAAUUGACACCCCUUCACCUGACCCUUCUGUCAAAGCUGCUAUAAUAUAAUCCAUGAGUCACAAUAUCUACUGAUGCUCCAAGAACCAAGGCUAAUUGGAUGCAUGAACACUAGCCUUCCCUGCAAGGACUCUGGACUCAGAUUCAGCUGGCCCCUUGGAGAGCUGGAUCAGCUGCCCCCACCCUCUGUCCACCAUAGAUGGCAGCCAUUGCCUGUGCAAGCCAUCCGCAAUCCCUAUGUUUCUGCACCUCAUUUCUGAAAAAAGCAGC